UGUCAGCAUUCUGCCCUGUUGUCAGCAGUGCAGUAGCAGAUAAAAACUGUGCAGGGUGCUUUUCUUUACUGUGGGCUCAGAGUCCACCCUGUCUGGGUGUAAAGAGGAGUCCUGCCUGUGUAGGAGACCUUGGUGCCCCCAGGCAGAGCUGGGACCAAGUGCUCUGUCUGAUCUGCCAACAGAAGCAGCUGAGCACGUAUCUGUGUGCUUUCUGAGAUCAGGGCCCACCGCUUUGCUGAAAGGGAUAAAUAAGUGGUUCUUCAAAGCUAAUGGCAUCUCCUGUAUGAGCAGCUACUUUGAUUAGUUUGAAGCAGAACAAAAGACCUAUAAAUGGGGAAAAUCCUGAAGAUGUCCUGGGAGAGGGGAAUUCGUGCCCUUAGAAUAGCUGCAUGGAUGAAGCAGAGGAUGAAAAAGCUUGAACACAAAUGUCUUGAUAAUAAACACAAAUGUGUUUAUUGCCAUGUAUUAAAGUGGGAUUUCUGCAAUUACAAUAAGAUGCUGCCAAAGAAGAAUGAUCUGUGGAAUACAAGUGAAUGCAGUGCUGAUGAGCAUCCCGAAGUCCCA